rnacentral:rRNA from 1 species
UAAGAAAGUAACGAAGAGCAAAUGGUGGAUGCCUUGGCUCUCAGAGGCGAUGAAGGACGUGAUAAGCUGCGAUAAGCUUCGGUUAGGUGCAAAUAACCUUUGAGCCGGAGAUUUCCCAAUGGGGCAACCCAUCCCGAAGCAGUUCGGGAUAUCCCUGUCGUUGCAGGCAGGGAGGCGAACCCGGUGAACUGAAACAUCUAAGUAGCCGGAGGAGAAGAAAACAAUAGUGAUUCCGCAAGUAGUGGCGAGCGAACGCGGAGUAGCCCAAACCGUCGAUGUUACGGCAUUGGCGGGGUUAUAGGACCGACAAAAGACUGUUAGACCUUUUAGUGGAAUUACCUGGAAAGGUAAGCCAUAGCGGGUGACAGCCCUUUACACGAAAGGGGGUUUAACGGCGGGUUGGUAUCCUGAGUAGCGCGGGACCGGAGAAAUCCUGUGUGAAUUUGCCGGCACCAUCCGGUAAGGCUAAAUACUCCUGAGAGACCGAUAGUGAACCAGUACCGUGAGGGAAAGGUGAAAAGUACCCCAAACAGGGGAGUGAAACAGAUCCUGAAACCAUUUGCUUACAAGCGGUCGGAGUCCCGCAGGUGCGGGAUGACGGCGUGCCUUUUGCAUAAUGAGCCUACGAGUUACCCAUGUGUGGCCAGGUUAACCCCGCAGGUACGGGGGUGAGCCGCAGCGAAAGCGAGUCUUAACAGGGCGCCGGAGUCACAUGGGGUAGACGCGAAACCAAGUGAUCUACCCAUGGCCAGGUUGAAGUUGUGGUAACACACAAUGGAGGACCGAACCAGUAAGCGUUGAAAAGCUUUUGGAUGAGCUGUGGGUAGGGGUGAAAGGCUAAUCAAACUUGGAGAUAUCUCGUACUCCCCGAAAUGCCUUUAGGGGCAGCCUCGGUUAAUAGUGUUGUGGAGGUAGAGCUACUGAUAGGACUAGGGGGCUUCACCGCCUACCAAAUUCUGACAAACUCCGAAUGCCACGACAUGUUUACCGGGAGUGAGGGCAAGGGUGCUAAGGUCCUUGUCCGAGAGGGAAAGAACCCGGAUCAUCCGCUAAGGUCCCCAAAUAUAUGCUAAGUUGAAAAAACGCGGUUGGAUUGCUAAGACAGCCAGGAUGUUGGCUUGGAAGCAGCCAUUCAUUUAAAGAGUGCGUAACAGCUCACUGGUCGAGCGAUCCGGCAUGGAUAAUAAACGGGCAUAAGCAUAUUACCGAAGCGGUGGACUUGUAUUCUAGUUCUAGGAUACAAUUGGUAGGGGAGCAUUCCAUGAUGCGUUGAAGAUGUGCCGUGAGGCAUGUUGGAGUUCAUGGAAGCGCAAAUGUAGGCAUAAGUAACGAUAAUGCGGGCGAGAAACCCGCACACCGAAAAGCCAAGGUUUCCUGAUCAACGCUAAUCGGAUCAGGGUUAGUCGGGUCCUAAGGCGAUGCCGCGAGGCUAAGUCGAUGGAUAACUGGUUAAUAUUCCAGUACUGGCAUAUACAAGAGAAGUGGUGACGGAGAAGUGACAGGUCUGCGCACUGACGGAAUAGUGCGUUGAAGGGUGUAGAUAUACCUGGUGCAGGCAAAUCCGCACCGGGUGUCGAACCUGAUAGUACCGUGCGGCUUCACGCCAAACGGAUAAUGGCCGUAAUCCUGCUUCCAAGAAAAGCUGCUAAUCGCUAUAACGUAUAUGCUACCCGUACCGUAAACCGACACAGGUGGCUGGGGAGAGAAUCCUAAGGUGCUCGAGUGAUACAUGGCUAAGGAACUAGGCAAAAUAGUGCUGUAACUUCGGGAGAAAGCACUCCCGCAUUGCGCGGGACGCAGAGAAAUGGCCCAGGCGACUGUUUAACAAAAACACAUGGCUUUGCAAAUUCGAAAGAAGAAGUAUAAGGCCUGACACCUGCCCGGUGCCGGAAGGUUAAGAGGAGGGGUUAGUCACCUUUAGGUGGCGAAGCUCUGAAUUGAAGCCCCGGUAAACGGCGGCCGUAACUAUAACGGUCCUAAGGUAGCGAAAUUCCUUGUCGGGUAAGUUCCGACCUGCACGAAUGGUGUAACGAUCUGGGUACUGUCUCGGCCAUGCGCUCGGUGAAAUUGAAGUCGCGGUGAAGAUGCCGCGUACCCGCAACGGGACGGAAAGACCCCGUGAACCUUCACUACAGCUUAACAUUGACUUUGGAUAAACGAUGUGUAGGAUAGGUGGGAGACUGCGAAGUGGUUGCGCCAGCAAUCAUGGAGUCAACGUUGAAAUACCACCCUUUGUUUAUUUGGAGCCUAAUGCCGUACGUACGGCAGACAUUGUUUGGCGGGUAGUUUGACUGGGGUGGUCGCCUCCAAAAGAGUAACGGAGGCUUUCAAAGGUACCCUCAGCACGGUUGGUAACCGUGCGUUGAGUGCAAUGACACAAGGGUGCUUGACUGGGAGACUGACAAGUCGAUCAGGUAGGAAACUAGGACAUAGUGAUCCGGUGGUUCCGUAUGGAAGGGCCAUCGCUCAAAGGAUAAAAGGUACUCCGGGGAUAACAGGCUGAUCACUCCCAAGAGCUCACAUCGACGGAGUGGUUUGGCACCUCGAUGUCGGCUCGUCACAUCCUGGGGCUGGAGAAGGUCCCAAGGGUUGGGCUGUUCGCCCAUUAAAGUGGCACGCGAGCUGGGUUCAGAACGUCGCGAGACAGUUCGGUCCCUAUCUGUUGUGGGCGUAGGAAGUUUGAGGGGCGCUGACACUAGUACGAGAGGACCGUGUCGGAUAAACCUCUGGUGUACCAGUUGUAACGCCAGUUGCACCGCUGGGUAGCUAAGUUUGGAUGAGAUAAGUGCUGAAAGCAUCUAAGCACGAAACUCGCCCCAAGAUGAGACUUCCGUUAAUAAGGGUCGUUAAAGACGAUGACGUAGAUAGGCUGCAGGUGUAAAGGUGGUAACAUCAAAGCCGAGCAGUACUAAUCACCCGAACGCUUUCUUAAU